CGAUAACGAACGAGACCUUAACCUGCUAAAUAGUUAGGCCAACGUUUGUUGGUCGUCAACUUCUUAGAGGGACUAUUGACUAUUAGUCAAUGGAAGUUUGAGGCAAUAACAGGUCUGUGAUGCCCUUAGAUGUUCUGGGCCGCACGCGCGCUACACUGAUCAAGUCAGCGAGUCUACAACCUUGGCCGGAAGGUCUGGGUAAUCUUUUGAAACUUGAUCGUGCUGGGGAUAGUCCAUUGCAAUUAUUGGACUUCAACGAGGAAUUCCUAGUAAGCGUGAGUCAUCAGCUCGCGUUGAUUACGUCCCUGCCCUUUGUACACACCGCCCGUCGCUACUACCGAUUGAAUGGCU
rnacentral:rRNA from 1 species